rnacentral:rRNA from 1 species
UACGUAGGGUGCGAGCGUUAAUCGGAAUUACUGGGCGUAAAGCGUGCGCAGGCGGUUUGGUAAGACAGAUGUGAAAUCCCCGGGCUUAACCUGGGAACUGCAUUUGUGACUGCCCGGCUAGAGUGUGUCAGAGGGGGGUAGAAUUCCACGUGUAGCAGUGAAAUGCGUAGAUAUGUGGAGGAACACCGAUGGCGAAGGCAGUCCCCUGGAC